rnacentral:rRNA from 1 species
AACGAACGCUGGCGGCAUGCCUAACACAUGCAAGUCGAACGAGACCUUCGGGUCUAGUGGCGCACGGGUGCGUAACGCGUGGGAACCUGCCCUUAGGUUCGGAAUAACUCCCCGAAAGGGGUGCUAAUACCGGAUAAUGUCUUCGGACCAAAGAUUUAUCGCCUUUGGAUGGGCCCGCGUUGGAUUAGCUAGUUGGUAGGGUAAAAGCCUACCAAGGCGACGAUCCAUAGCUGGUCUGAGAGGAUGAUCAGCCACACUGGGACUGAGACACGGCCCAGACUCCUACGGGAGGCAGCAGUGGGGAAUAGUGGACAAUGGGCGAAAGCCUGAUCCAGCUAUGCCGCGUGAGUGAUGAAGGCCUUAGGGUUGUAAAGCUCUUUUACCCGGGAUGAUAAUGACAGUACCGGGAGAAUAAGCUCCGGCUAACUCCGUG